UUUUCUUCAAGAUUGUUUCUUUGCCGAUUCUGACAGGCACUGUUAAUUAUUUCCCAUCAGAGUGCAAAUUGUUCGUCUGUUCUUGGUAUUCAAUCACUCUUCAUCCUGAUCAUCUGAAAGCCGAGGCUAUUCAUAUCGACAGGUUCACAGUGGAUUGAAUAGGGGCAGCUGUAACACCUCAAAAUUUGCCCUCCUCUCUUGGGACUAGCUUAACAUAUUGCAU
rnacentral:lncRNA from 1 species